CAACUUUGUUCCCCUCCGAGUCUUGGGUUUUGGAGGUUUCAGAAGUCUCGAUUUGUUCUGUGAAACUCGUAGUAUUAUUAUCGGCGUUAAAGAUGUUGCUAUACAAUGGGUGUCUUUUCAUUUCACUUAAAGUUUCUGGCUCGGGGAUUUCAUCAAACACAACUUCUGUAUUUUUGUUCACCAUUUCCCAGGCGUCCAGCGUACUUAACUUCCAAAUUUCAUCUUGUACUUGUUCCAUAAUAAAAAAGAAAAGGAUAAUAUCCAAAAAAUUUCAAAAGGUUAUUGUACUAAAAUAUCUCAGUACGCGCCCACUAGGUCGUAAUAUUAAUCUCGUCCUCCCCAAAGAAGCUAAAAGAUAUCAUA